UCUUUGGUCAAUUAGAGGAAGUAAAAGUCGUAACAAGGUUUCCGUAGGUGAACCUGCGGAGGAUCAUUACCGAACUGUCAACAAGAGUUGUUGCUGGUCCCCAUGCAGGGGGCAUGUGCACACUCUGUUUACACAUCCACCCACACCUGUGCACCCUCUGUAGUUCUGUGGCUUGGGGGCUCUGUCCUCUUGCCGUGGCUCUACGUCUUUACACACACACUGUAACAAAGUCUCAUGGAAUGUAUGUCGCGUUCAACGCAAUGAAAUACAACUUUCAGCAACGGAUCUCUUGGCUCUCGCAUCGAUGAAGAACGCAGCGAAAUGCGAUAAGUAAUGUGAAUUGCAGAAUUCAGUGAAUCAUCGAAUCUUUGAACGCACCUUGCGCCCUUUGGCUAUUCUGAAGGGCAUGCCUGUUUGAGUAUCAUGAACACCUCAACUCUCAUGGCUUGCCAUGAUGAGCUUGGACCUUGGAGGUCUUGCUGGCAUGUGCAGGUCAGCUCCUCUCAAAUAAAUCAGCUUGCCAGUGUUUGGUGGCGUCACAGGUGUGAUAAAUAUCUAUGCUUGUGGCUUUCCACCAGGUAACCUUCAGCAAUGGAGGCUCACUGGAGCUCAUAAAUGUCUCUCCUUGGUGAGGACAGAUUUUGACUGUUUGAUCUCAAAUCAGGUAGGACUACCCGCUGAACUUAAGCAUAUCAAUAGCCGGAGGAA
rnacentral:rRNA from 1 species